rnacentral:lncRNA from 1 species
GUCAGGUUGGUCGAGCAACACUCAGACCUGAACAUUCAUUUGUUAGAUGCAUUUGGUGUAGUAAUGUUAAUGAUUGGAUUUAACCAAAAUUUUUAGUGGAGGCACCACACACCUACUGAAGAGAUGCCUGGGGCAAAACCUAAUUAUUAAAAAUUAUUUGAUGAAAUAAUUGGUUAAGAACCUGUCCAUGGAUGCACUAGGAUUGGCCAAGCCACACUCGAGCCCGAAUGCAGUCU